AUUCGAAGCAACGCGAAGAACCUUACCAGGUCUUGACAUCCCUCUGACCGCUCUAGAGAUAGAGUUUUCCUUCGGGACAGAGGUGACAGGUGGUGCAUGGUUGUCGUCAGCUCGUGUCGUGAGAUGUUGGGUUAAGUCCCGCAACGAGCGCAACCCCUAUUGUUAGUUGCCAUCAUUUAGUUGGGCACUCUAGCGAGACUGCCGGUAAUAAACCGGAGGAAGGUGGGGAUGACGUCAAAUCAUCAUGCCCCUUAUGACCUGGGCUACACACGUGCUACAAUGGCUGGUACAACGAGUCGCAAGCCGGUGACGGCAAGCUAACCUCUUAAAGCCAGUCUCAGUUCGGAUUGUAGGCUGCAACUCGCCUACAUGAAGUCGGAAUCGCUAGUAAUCGCGGAUCAGCACGCCGCGGUGAAUACGUUCCCGGGCCUUGUACACACCGCCCGUCACACCACGAGAGUUUGUAACACCCGAAGUCGGUGAGGUAACCGUAAGGAGCCAGCCGCCUAAGGUGGGAUAGAUGAUUGGGGUGAAGUCGUAACAAGGUAACC
rnacentral:rRNA from 1 species